rnacentral:tRNA from 1 species
GCCUUUGUGGUGUAGUGGUCAGCACGCUGGGCGCGUAUUCCAGAGGUCCGUGGUUCGAAUCCCGGCGAAGGCG